ACCUGUCAUAGCUGUGUAUCCUUGAACACUUCUGAGCCUCAGUUUCACCAUCUCUAAAUAAAGAACUUAAAAAGAAGGACGUAUUGUAAGCUUUUCUUCACCUUUGAUCUUGCCUAUUUUACCCAGGAAGGUAUUCUUUUGGAUUAUGAACAUAGGCUUCCUGAUUAUCUGAAAUCUAGAAAGAUACUGUUAGCAGUGUUUUGACAGUUGCUCCUUGUGGGACACUCUGCCAUGACUGUGGAAGACAAUUCGAAGUAAAGUUGUUCCCUGCUCUCUGAGAGCUCAGAUUCUGGUUGAAGCCAUGAGAUGCAGGUGUGUCCUAACCACAAGAAGGCAAGAAUAUCAUGAAGCACAAAUGAGGAACAGAGCAAUCAUUUCCAAAGAACGAGAUAUUGUGAGAAAUGGGAAGGGCGUUUCAUUUCAAAUAAUCUUUCUCACAUACCAUUAAAAACUCAUGGGAAACAUGGGGGAAACAAAGCAUGUUGGGAGUCAAUCGCUUGCUUUCUAAUUAAGAAUAUAGCAGACUGAAACAUGGUUCUAAGCUCUCUGUAGGAACGCUAAGCUUCAUCUAAGUAAAUUAAUCUGAUGGCAGCUCAGAGGCAUCCUGGAUUUUGUGAAGAUUGCAUUCUGUUUUUGCCACUUGGGCACCUAGAACCAUAUUUGUGGUCAAGUUCAGCCACUGUUUAGAUCCUAUUGUGUUUAUUUUUUAUUCUUUUGUCUUAUAUCUGUAAGUUACUGUAAAUCCUUUUUUAUGAGCUAUAGGAUGAAUAACUAUCUAAUGAAUACCAUAAGAUAAAGUCAUUUAUCUUUCCUACCUCUCAGUUUUCUCAAUUAUAAAAUGAAAGGCUUGGAUUAAGUUAAACUGAGCUUAUUUUUUCUUGAUGCUAAUGCUUUAGGAUUACCUGAAUGAAGGCAAGAUUGUCCAGGAAUGAAGAAUAGAUUAAUUCAGUCAAUAAGUAGUAGACAUGGAUACUUCCUAUGUAAGAGCAUAAAUAACUUGAUUUAAAACCAUGAGUGAAGUCAAUUUAUUAGAGGGUCUCAAUUGUAAACACUUCCUCCAUGCUAGAAAUUCUCAAAACAAGACAUUCAUUCAGUUCUAAGGAUGAUUAAGCAUAUAAAUGUAUAAAUGAAUAAGUGCAUGUAAAUAUAUAAAUGUCCUUGUGUGGCAUGUAUAUCGUACA